rnacentral:misc_RNA from 1 species
GCAUUUGGGGCCGUAGAGUCAAUGUCGGAUCGACAGUGCAUCCAUAACACCAGUACAGGGGCUGUUCACUACUCUGCGGAAGACCUGGUGUCAUGUUGUCACACUUGUGGGUUCGGCUGUAAUGGUGGCUUCCCUGGGGCAGCCUGGCGCUACUGGGUACACAGUGGCAUUGUCAGCGGAGGCAACUAUGGAUCGAACCAGGGUUGUGCGCCAUAUGAAAUUGCGCCUUGUGAGCACCAUGUGAACGGCACUAGACCUCCUUGUGCUGAGGGUGGCAAGACACCUAAGUGUGAGAAACGAUGCCAACACUCAUACAGUGUGGACUACAAUAAGGACAAACACUUUGGGAAGAGCGCUUACAGUGUAGAUGGCGAGGAGAAACAGAUUCAGAUAGAGAUCAUGAAGAAUGGACCAGUAGAAGGAGCUUUCUCAGUCUAUGAAGAUUUUGUACAGUACAAAGCAGGUGUGUACAAGCAUGUGGCAGGCAAGAUGUUGGGAGGACAUGCCAUCCGUAUCUUAGGGUGGGGGGUGGAGGAUGGCACUCCUUAUUGGCUAGUAGCAAACUCCUGGAACUCUGACUGGGGUGAUCAUGGAUAUUUCAAAAUCCUCCGAGGUUCCGAUGAGUGCGGCAUCGAGAGUGAGAUCAAUGCUGGCAUCCCAAAGUAAUCUACAUGACAAUUAGUGUCUGCUCAAUAUUAUGUCUUUUUAACGUUCAUAAUUUGUUUAUGAAAAAAGUGCCAUCAUUGUUUUACUAUAUAUAUAUAUAUACUAUAUAUUUGACUGUGGUAUAAAAAAUAAUAAUUCUCAUACCUGUAUACUCAAAUCGAAGAACAAAAUAUCUUUCUGAUAGUUGAUAUUUGUUUAUGUUACUACUGGAUUAUAUAUUUUUGCUAUGAAGUUCAUGUGUUAUGUUUCAAUAAAUAAAUAUUUUGAAUAUA